AGCAGCCGCGGUAAUUCCAGCUCCAAUAGCGUAUAUUAAAGUUGUUGCAGUUAAAAAGCUCGUAGUUGAAUUUCGGGGUUCUAUCGUUGGUCGGGCUAACCAGUCUGUACUAGCGUGUAGAAUUCUUACCUUCUGGGGAACCAUCAUGUUAUUAAUUUAGCGUGGUGGGAAACCAGGACCUUUACCUUGAAAAAAUUAGAGUGUUCAAAGCAGGCUUACGUCUGAAUACAUUAGCAUGGAAUAAUAAAAUAGGACGGUGGUCCUGUUUUGUUGGUUUCUGAAUCACCGUA
rnacentral:rRNA from 1 species